ACUCUGCAAACACGAAAGUGGACGUAUAGGGUGUGAUGCCUGCCCGGUGCUGGAAGGUUAAUUGAUGGGGUUAGCGUAAGCGAAGCUCUUGAUCGAAGCCCCAGUAAACGGCGGCCGUAACAAUAACGGUCCUAAGGUAGCGAAAUUCCUUGUCGGGUAAGUUCCGACCUGCACGAAUGGCAUAAUGAUGGGGGCGCUGUCUCCAGCAGAGACUCAGUGAAAUCGAAUUCGCCGUGAAGAUGCGGUGUACCCGCGGCUAGACGGAAAGACCCCGUGAACCUUUACUGCAGCUUGACAUUGAACUUUGAUCUUACUUGUGUAGGAUAGGUGGGAGGCUUUGAAGUCGCGACGCUAGUUGCGAUGGAGCCGUCCUUGAAAUACCACCCUGGUAAUAUUGAGGUUCUAACUCUGUCCCGUUAUCCGGGACGAGGACCAUGUCUGGUGGGUAGUUUGACUGGGGCGGUCUCCUCCUAAAGAGUAACGGAGGAGUACGAAGGUGCGCUCAGCGUGGUCGGAAAUCACGCGUAGAGUAUAAAGGCAAAAGCGCGCUUAACUGCGAGACCCACAAGUCGAGCAGGUACGAAAGUAGGUCUUAGUGAUCCGGUGGUUCUGUAUGGAAGGGCCAUCGCUCAACGGAUAAAAGGUACUCCGGGGAUAACAGGCUGAUACCGCCCAAGAGUUCAUAUCGACGGCGGUGUUUGGCACCUCGAUGUCGGCUCAUCACAUCCUGGGGCUGAAGCCGGUCCCAAGGGUAUGGCUGUUCGCCAUUUAAAGUGGUACGCGAGCUGGGUUUAGAACGUCGUGAGACAGUUCGGUCCCUAUCUGCCGUGGACGUUUGAGAUUUGAGAGGGGCUGCUCCUAGUACGAGAGGACCGGAGUGGACGAACCUCUGGUGUUCCGGUUGUCACGCCAGUGGCAUUGCCGGGUAGCUAUGUUCGGAAUAGAUAACCGCUGAAAGCAUCUAAGCGGGAAACUUGCCUCAAGAUGAGAUCUCACUGGAACCUUGAGUUCCCUGAAGGGCCGUCGAAGACUACGACGUUGAUAGGUUGGGUGUGUAAGCGCUGUGAGGCGUUGAGCUAACCAAUACUAAUUGCCCGUGAGGCUUGACCA
rnacentral:rRNA from 1 species